rnacentral:piRNA from 1 species
UGGAGCUCAUGGUGGUUGGGAU